rnacentral:tRNA from 1 species
GAGGAAAAUCCGUCGACUUUCAAAAUCGUGAGG